ensembl:lncRNA
GGGGGGCGACGGAGGAAGGGAGGCGGGAGAAGAGAGGAGGCGGUGGCCGUGCUGCGCGCGCAGCCAGAGGCGGUGCUGAGGGGAGCCGAGGAGGAAUGGAGGGUUGUUGGGUGCUGUGUUUGUCCGUGUUUCAGCCUGGCUGGGGGCUCUGCUCUUCAGCGGGUGGGUUCUCGGCUUGCCUCUCGGCCCGAAGGAGCGGGUAGCGCUGAGGCGGCGGGAAGGCGGCCCGCGCAGUCAGUCAGUCAGUCAGUCACCGUGCCCGUCAGCCGCUCUGCUUCACAGGGAAGGACUGCAGCGAGUUUUGCAGGAAAUGCUAGUGAUGUGUUCAUGGCAACCAGCAGGUCAGGAGAGCUGGUAUACAGAGGAAUGGGAGCAGCUGAAAAUAGCUGAAAAUAAGAACAGAAAAGGUAUUCAUUCCACUGCAGGGAAAGACUGCUCCA